rnacentral:rRNA from 1 species
CGGCACCUCAAGUGGUCAGGAUGAUUAUUGGGCCUAAAGCAUCCGUAGCCGGCGCUGUAAGUUUUCGGUUAAAUCUGUACGCUCAACGUACAGGCUGCCGGGAAUACUGCAGCGCUAGGGAGUGGGAGAGGUAGACGGUACUCGGUAGGAAGGGGUAAAAUCCUUUGAUCUAUUGAUGACCACCUGUGGCGAAGGCGGUCUACCAGAACACGUCCGACGGUGAGGGACGAAAGCUAGGGGAGCGAACCGGAUUAGAGACCCGAGUAGUCC